GCCUUCGUAGCUCAGUGGUAGAGCGCAUCACUAGUAUCGCACAGCGGCUAUGAUGAGGUCGUCAGUUCAAUUCUGGCCGAAGGCA